CUUCCCUAAAGAGUACCCACAUCUGUUAGCAAAAUCGUCGGCAACACUUUAUGUGCUCUCAAAUUUUUUUAUUGACACAUUAGUUCACUUUGUUAUGCAAAUGAGAAUAUUCCUCCUCGCCUCCCAACUUUAAAAGUUUUUUUUUACCAUUACUUUUGUGGUAUUUACUCCCUUAAAUUAGAGAAAAACUAAUGAACAUAGGACUGCAAACUGGAUAAAUUACAGAAAAUUCUUCUUAUGUUUAGAUGAUUGACAGGAAAUCUCCUAACAUUUCAAAAGUAACACUUUUUCUUUUCUCUUUAAAUUCCUACAUAAUUAAUUAAUAAUGUGGAGCCAUAACCAGAUUCGCACGCAAAACCUGAACUGAACCGAGAAUUAAAUAAAAACCUAGAAUCUAAAUUCCCCCGAAAACAGUCCUCAAAUUUUCUGUUGCUCCAGGAAUCGCUUCGUUGUCAAAGAAAUGCCCAAAUGAGAAAUGCUUGAGGAUAGCUUCUUAUUUCAGAAAUUGGUAAAUUCUAUAGACAGACGAGGCUUGGGGUUUGACAACAGCAGCAAUGGGUGGUAUCUGGCUAUGUCAAACGUCUGAGUAAUUGGAUAACGGAUAUGGGCUCAUCUAUGUUAUUGAAGAAUCCUUGCAAUAUAGACAACAGUUAUGAUUUCAUCUCGAACUUUUGAGGACAAAUUAGAUCGUCGUAGCGCUUUGCUGUAUUCUAUGUCUGGUUUUCUUGGAAGAGAUUGAAAAGUGACUGGGAUUGAUGGACCGUUGCUUCAAGGAGCAUUGACAAGUUUUUCUUCACUUGGUUAAUGAGCAAGAGGUAAUGAGAUCCAAAGUGUAAUCAGCAUAUGAAAUGUCCUGAUUACUGGCUUCUCGAGCUGCCCGUCUUGCUAGCUAUUUAUUGAUCUCUAUUGGUAUUUAUUUGAUUGGCAUCUCUCUUGCCCUUUCUGGUAUCUGUCGUUGGUUCUCCUGCUUUGCAUCUGAUUUAGAGGACGGACAGGUCCAGUAUGAUAAUGCAUUAGAGCAGGAGUAUGCACAGCCGGAGUGUCUUCCAGGUGGAACAGAAGAACAGACGGAAGCUUAGCCUUUUCUUUUACGUAAUCACUGAUGGACACUAGAUUACUUAUGUAGUACAUUAUCCUUUAGUCUUUCGAGGAACUUAGUUAUUUUGCAGUACUUCCUUCUUAUUU